UCCGGUUUGUCACCGGCAGUCUGGCGCGAGUCCCCAACUUAAUGAUGGCAACACGCCACGGGGGUUGCGCUCGUUGCGGGACUUAACCCAACAUCUCACGACACGAGCUGACGACAGCCAUGCACCACCUGUCACCCAGUCCGAAGAGGGCCUUGUCUCCAAGGCUUUCCGGGUGAUGUCAAACCCAGGUAAGGUUCUUCGCGUUGCAUCGAAUUAAUCCACAUGCUCCGCCGCUUGUGCGGGCCCCCGUCAAUUCCUUUGAGUAUUAGCCUUGCGGCCGUACUCCCCAGGCGGGGCGCUUAAUGCGUUAGCUACGGCACGGAGCACGUGGAAUGCACCCCACACCUAGCGCCCAGCGUUUACAGCGUGGACUAC
rnacentral:misc_RNA from 1 species